rnacentral:rRNA from 1 species
AGUGAACGCUGGCGGUAGGCCUAACACAUGCAAGUCGAACGGCAGCACAGUAAGAGCUUGCUCUUACGGGUGGCGAGUGGCGGACGAGUGAGGAAUACAUCGGAAUCUACUUUUUCGUGGGGGCUAACGUAGGGAAACUUACGCUAAUACCGCAUACGACCUACGGGUGAAAGCAGGGGAUCUUCGGACCUUGCGCGAUUGAAUGAGCCGAUGUCGGAUUAGCUAGUUGGCGGGGUAAAGGCCCACCAAGGCGACGAUCCGUAGCUGGUCUGAGAGGAUGAUCAGCCACACUGGAACUGAGACACGGUCCAGACUCCUACGGGAGGCAGCAGUGGGGAAUAUUGGACAAUGGGCGCAAGCCUGAUCCAGCCAUACCGCGUGGGUGAAGAAGGCCUUCGGGUUGUAAAGCCCUUUUGUUGGGAAAGAAAAGCAGCAGGUUAAUACCCCGCUGUUCUGACGGUACCCAAAGAAUAAGCACCGGCUAACUUCGUG